rnacentral:rRNA from 1 species
GUAGGUGGCAAGCGUUGUCCGGAAUUAUUGGGCGUAAAGCGCGCGCAGGCGGUUCUUUAAGUCUGAUGUGAAAGCCCACGGGCUCAACCGUGGAGGGUCAUUGGAAACUGGAGAACUUGAGUACAGAAGAGGAAAGCGGAAUUCCACGUGUAGCGGUGAAAUGCGUAGAGAUGUGGAGGAACACCAGUGGCGAAGGCGGCUUUCUGGUCUGUAACUGACGCUGAGGCGCGAAAGCGUGGGGAACAAACAGGAUUAGAUACCCUGGUAGUCCACGCCGUAAACGAUGAGUGCUAAGUGUUAGGGGGUUUCCGCCCCUUAGUGCUGCAGCUAACGCAUUAAGCACUCCGCCUGGGGAGUACGGCCGCAAAGGCUG